CCGCGGCCCUCCCUCAGCCCUGAGGCCGCUAGGGGCGGCUCGGGGCCGCUGCCUUGGAGACGGUUGCGUUGGGGCGAGGCUUGAGGCUGACGGCUGCCCGCCAUGCUGCCCGCCCCGCGCCGGGGGGCUGCGGCCCCGGCCGCCAUCCCCUACUGCUACUGCAGCCCGCCCCGCGCCCUGCCCGCCCGCAACAAGUACCGGCCGCCGCCCGAGGCCGCCCCGCAGGAGAAGGAGCCCGUCCGCUAUGCCAACCUCAUGCACGACCCGAGGGUGGUGCGUGGCAACACGUAUGCCCUGCAGGUCAUCCCCGCGUGUACCCAUCUUGAUCUGUUUGAGAUUCAAAGGCAGAGAGAAGCACGGAGAAAAGCACUGGCUAGAAAGAGAGCAAAAGAGCAAGUGCAGCUAACACCUGAGCCUGUGGAAGGCAGAGAGCAUGUUCACGUGCAGACAGAGCUGUAUUUGGAAGAGAUUAGUGACCGGACAAUAGAGGUUGAUACGGAAUGUCAAACAGAUGCAUUUUUGGACAGACCACCCACUCCUUUCUUCAUACCAGCCAAAACAGGAAGAGAUGUGGCCACACAAAUAGAAGAAGGAGAGCUGUUUGACUUUGACAUUGAAGUCGAGCCGAUCCUGGAAGUGCUGGUUGGGAAGACCAUGGAGCAAGCUUUGCUGGAAGUCAUGGAGGAAGAAGAGCUGGCCCAGCUGUGGGCACACCAGCGUGCCUACGCGGAACUGCGCAAUGCCGAGCUGGCGGAGGUGCAGCGCCUGGAGGAGCAGGACAGGCGAUACAGGGAGGAGAAGGAACGUCGCAAACUCCAGCACAUUCAAAUGCUACAGAAACAGAAAGAGACGACAGAGAAAAUUGCAGCUUGGGCAUUUGCUAAACGCUACUUGACUGAUCUCAUUCCUUCAGUCUUCAGCAAUCUUCGUGAGAGUGGGUUUUUCUAUGAUCCUAUAGAAAGAGAUAUUGAGACAGAAUUCCUGCCAUGGCUGAUGACAGAAGUGGAAGAAACACUAGAGAAGAAGGUUCUGGGAAGGAUGAUGCUUGACUCCUUGAUUCGUACAGUGGUUGAAAAACGCUUGGAUGCAUUUAGCCAGGAACCUCAGUCUGGUCAGACCGAGGCCCCUGCUGAAGAGCCUGAGCCCAUAGAUGCAGCCCCGCAGGAGGCUGAUGAGAUAGAAGCUGCUGACCUGCCGGUCACAGCAAGUGAAGAGAGCGAGCCAACCUGUUGCUGAGGAACAGCUUUCACGUCGCAUCUCUUUCCAGUUAGAGGAACCCGAUCAAGCAGAAACAGAGGACCUGGAAACUGAGUAACAAGGAGGUACCUCCAUUCUGCCUACCAACAGGCUGUAAUUGCUGGUUGGCUUUCGUGCUGAGGGGGAUGAGGAAAAGAGGAGACAUCGCCGAUGAGAACCAAGAACACAUGAGCCUUGUAGCUGACUUAUACGCAUUCUUUAUCAAACACCAGGAGCUGAAUCAUGCAAAAAUCCUUGAGCAAGAUUAUCUCCUCUCUAUUCCAUUCAGGUUGCUGCAGAGGCUCUAUCCUUCUGUUGUAUUUGUGCAGACCUAGUUUAGACAGAAAUAACUUAGCCAGUGUGGCCUUGAAAGAAAGUUGAGAAUACUUUCUUUCUGUUUUUACAGACUUCCCUUUUCUUACAGGUUUCUAGAACCAUACUGCAAUGUGCUCUAUUUAUGUCUUUGUUCUGAUUUUAAUGUAUAGCCAUGAUACUUCUGUACCAUUUAGGCAUACUAUCCUGGAGAGGAAAUUGAUGGUGUCAUUUACUAUUUAUUGCCUGUUUCUUCAUUUGGAGGAAAGGAAAGAGGGGCAAAGGCUAGGUGAUGAAUUCUGCCUUGAAUUGUAAAGGCUGGAAGGGAACUUUGGGGCGCUGAGAAUUUAAAAACCUUCACACAAAGUGAAUGUGAGGGGGGUUGGACCAAUAACAGCCUUAGCACAGAAUGAGGAGGGCUAUUUGAAGGUGGGAAGAAGCUCCAGUUCUAGAAUGGAGCUUUACUUUUGGUGUUUACAUUAAAAUCAAACACAGUGGAUACAGUCACUACUCUGAGGUAAGUGAUGAGCUGGUUUCCACAUGAACAGAAGGGUGUCCUAAUGUGACUGGGGAGUAUCAAGGUUAAGUUUGCUGUAAUAGGUUAUGUCUUAUGGAACCGGAAAGCCAUGGAGCAGAAACUUCAUCAAACUCCUCAUGAUACCGUCUCCUCAGAGCAACUCUCCCUGAUCCCUGUUCUCAGCAGGAGCUCCUCAUCCCUGGUACCUGCUCACAGCCCCAGCAACAUCACACAAGGGACAUGGGGACAGUACAUCUGGCACUACAGUGCAGGACAGGCUGCAGCCACCCCACCACGACAAGGUGCAGGCGGGCACUGCUCUGACCCGUGGCAGGGUGUUCAUCUGGCAUCAGGGGCUUUGUGCUGGGCCCUGGGUGUGCAUUGGCCUUUUGCAAAGCCCACAUAUGUUUACAGCGCGAGGAGCCAAGAGUGGUCACCCAGCAGAGUCCUCGGUGAGAUCGUGGGAUUCUGGGCUUCAUAAUUAAUAAGCAACUUGAUCAGUGGCACAUUGGGUCAGGAUGCAGGCUGUGGGUGCUCUCCCCGGGAACCACCAGAAACCAGGCACACCGUUCAUUUUGGUCAAAGGACCAGCUGUAGCUGUCAGGUACCCAGCAGGGUACUUUGGUGGUCAGUAAAAGCCCCAGACAGCUGCAUGCACACCCAGUGAGGCUGCUUGUCUCUGCAUGUCUUUCCCAAAAGCUGCUGGUGACAAUAAAACUGUGUCCACGUGGU